rnacentral:rRNA from 1 species
UACGUAGGGUGCGAGCGUUGUCCGGAAUUAUUGGGCGUAAAGAGCUUGUAGGCGGUCUGUCGCGUCUGCUGUGAAAACCCGGGGCUCAACUCCGGGCUUGCGGGCGAUACGGGCAGGCUAGAGUUCGGUAGGGGAGACUGGAAUUCCUGGUGUAGCGGUGAAAUGCGCAGAUAUCAGGAGGAACACCGGUGGCGAAGGCGGGUCUCUGGGCCGAUACUGACGCUGAGACGCGAAAGCGUGGGGAGCAAACAGG